UACGAAGGUGGCAAGCGUUGUUCGGAUUUACUGGGCGUACAGGGAGCGUAGGCGGUUGGGUAAGCCCUUCGUGAAAUCUCCGGGCCUAACCCGGAAAGUGCGGAGGGGACUGCUCGGCUAGAGGAUGGGAGAGGAGCGCGGAAUUCCCGGUGUAGCGGUGAAAUGCGUAGAGAUCGGGAGGAACACCGGUGGCGAAGGCGGCAUCCUGGACCGAUAUUGACGCUGAUGCGCGAAAGCCAGGGGAGCAAACAGGGG
rnacentral:rRNA from 1 species